UACGUAGGUGGCGAGCGUUGUCCGGAAUUACUGGGCGUAAAGGGCGCGUAGGCGGCCACCGCAAGUCGACUGUGAAAUCUCCGGGCUUAACCCGGAAAGGUCAGCCGAUACUGCGGGGCUAGAGUGCAGAAGGGGCAACUGGAAUUCUCGGUGUAGCGGUGAAAUGCGUAGAUAUCGAGAGGAACACCUGCGGCGAAGGCGGGUUGCUGGGCUGACACUGACGCUGAAGCGCGAAAGCUAGGGGAGCGAACGGG
rnacentral:rRNA from 1 species